GUAAGUAUAGUUUAACUAAAACAUUAGAUUGUGAUUCUAAAAAUGAAGGUUAAAGUCCUGCUACUCACC
rnacentral:tRNA from 1 species